GGGUAAUUAAGCUACAGUAAACCCCUGCUAAUGAAGCCAUGUCACCUCGGUUACUGUUGUUAAUCUUGUGUUAGUUCAAAAUGGUCCAAAUUCAAAUUUAAAUUUAAAGGCAAACAACAAAGGUUUUCAAAAGUUAAAACUAAAAUGUUUGAGAGGUGACAUAUAGUGCAUAGGUAAUUAUGGUGAUGAAACAACAUUUUUGUAAAAUGUUUAAAUGCCCAAAGGUAAAUAAAAUAGCAGCUAAAACAAAUAUUUAAAUGCCUUUUAAAUAAUAAAAAUAUGCAAAGUAUUCUAUUAUUGCACCAAACUUUUUGUGAUAGUGUACCUAAUUGAAAUUCUAUCUUAGGACAUGGAUUCAUAAUAAUAGAACUAAAGUAAAAUAAAAACAAACCAAAGAAUAAUUAAAAGGAAAAGAACAAAACAGGAAAUAAGAAAAAAAAAAGGAAACCACCCCCUUCCCCCCCACUGGGCCAACCGGCCCAGCCGGCCAACCAACUGACCAGGCCGGCCCAUGCCUCUGGCCUACAUAUGCCUCUCCCACUCCCCCAAACCCUAACCGCACUCCCCCCACUCCCCACGACCGCACCCACUCCUCCCACUCCCUCNNNNNNNNNNNNNNNNNNNNNNNNNNNNNNNNNNNNNNNNNNNNNNNNNNNNNNNNNNNNNNNNNNNNNNNNNNNNNNNNNNNNNNNNNNNNNNNNNNNNNNNNNNNNNNNNNNNNNNNNNNNNNNNNNNNNNNNNNNNNNNNNNNNNNNNNNNNNNNNNNNNNNNNNNNNNNNNNNNNNNNNNNNNNNNNNNNNNNNNNNNNNNNNNNNNNNNNNNNNNNNNNNNNNNNNNNNNNNNNNNNNNNNNNNNNNNNNNNNNNNNNNNNNNNNNNNNNNNNNNNNNNNNNNNNNNNNNNNNUCUCUCCCUGUCGCCCGAUCCAAUCGGGAUCGGGCGCCCAUCGCCGCCGCCUGGAGUGCCCCGCCUCCCGAUGUCACCGGCGACCGCCAGUAGGACGCCGCCCCUGCCGCACGCCCGUACCGCCAACGCCGCACGGAGCCCGCGUCGCUCGCGUCCUUGCCGGAGCUGGCCUGCCGACCUAGACCUCGCCGUGGCCUCCUCGUCCCCUCCCCGUGUCGCUACCUCACGCCUCGCCGACCCCCUGAACCCCUGCAACGCUGUGAGCCGCCCCCUCCUCUUUUCCCGUGUUCACCACGCCGCUCGCCGUACCCCCUGCGCUGCACACGCGCGUCGCCAUGGGCCGCGCCCACACGCCGUCCGGCCGGGCCCCGCGAGUGCUCCACCGUCGUCCGCGACCACCUCUGCCCGCCCGUGACCUCGCCUCCCCGCGCGGUCGUCUACGCGUGGCCUUGGCCGCCCACGAACAGCGCUGCUGCUGCCGCCGGCCUCUCCCUGGCCGUGCCAUCCCGCGCCGCUGCCCCCAUGCUCAGGCUUCCCUCGCUGCUCUCCGCGCCGCCCCCUUGCUACUGCUGCCGAUGCGCCGCCUCACCGGCCGCGUUCGCAGCGUGCAGGUGUGCAAAGGGCGAUGGGCCCAGACCCCUGCGCCAUAGGGUUUAGAGCGGCGUGCUGACCUCUCUGUUGUGCCUAGGUAGGGCUGCGACGUGUUGAUCUUUCGAGGUCGGGCAUGACCCAGGAAAGUGUGUCCGGCCAAAUGGGAUCGAGCGUGUUGGGUUAUGUGGUGCACCCCUGUAGGAAAGUUAAUCAAUUCAAAUAGCCGUGAUCUUUAGUAACAGGACGACUUGGAGUUGUACCUUGACCUUAUGACAACUAGAACCGGAUACUUAAUAAAACACACCAUUCCAAGUGCCAGAUACAACCGGUGAUCGCUCUCUCACAGGGCGACGAGGGGAGGAUCAUCGGUUAGGAUUAUGCUAUGCGAUGAUACUUGGUGAACUUACCGUCUACUCUCUUCUCCUGCUGCAAGAUGGAGGUUACCAGAAGCGUAGUCUUCGAAAGGACUAGCUAUCCCCCUCUUAUUCCGGCAUUCUGCAGUUCAGUCCACAUAUGAUACCCUUAUUCCAUUUGAUACCAAUGCAUACAUAUGUAGUGUAGCUCCUUGCUUGCGAGUACUUUGGAUGAGUACUCACGGUUGCUUUUCUCCCCCUUUUCCCCUUUCCUAUAUCCGAUUGCUGCAACCAGACGUUGGAGUCCAGGAGCCAGACGCCACCGUUGAUGACGACUACUACUACUCGGGAGGUGCCUACUACUACGUGCAGCCCGCUGACGACGACCAGGAGUAGUUUAGGAGGAUCCCAGGUAGGAGGUUUGCGCCUCUUUCGAUCUGUAUCCCAGUUUGUGCUAGCCUUCUUAAGGAAAACUUGUUUAACUUAUGUCUGUACUCAGAUAUUGUUCCUUCCGAUGACUCGUCUAUGAUCGAGCUCUUGUAUUCGAGCCCUCGAGGCCCCUGGCUUGUAAUAUGAUGCUUGUAUGACUUAUUUUAUUUGUAGAGUUGUGUUGUGAUAUCUUCUGAUGAGUCCCUGAUCUUGAUCAUACACAUUUGCGUGUAUGAUUAGUGUACAAUUGAAUCGGGGGCGUCACAAGUUGGUAUCAGAGCCCACUGCCUGUAGGAAUCCCCCUUCCACACUGCUUGGUCGAAGUCAAGUCUAGACAUUACAAAACUUUCUACUAACAUGGUUGUGUGCCUUACGGGCCCACGUCGCCAUCUGGGUGGUAUUAGGAUCUUUUACUCCUUGAUCCUUACUCUGGGACUCUAAACUCUCUUCUAUUCGGGUUAAAUGAAAUUUUGCUAAAUCUAACAUUAGGAUCUCGUUAUCACUUUCACUCGGAGAGCCCCUUAUUACUGAUGACCGUCUGCUGUACGUGAAGACCCUGAAGAUACUCUCCGUUGUUAACCCGAGAACUUGUGUUCAUCGCGUUUGCAAUUCCCUUUCCACCGUCAACCCUUAUGGAUAACUACUUGCAGUUAUUAUUCUUACAUUCAUCCCCAGUUGGUCUUGUUAUUACAAGAUACCCCGAACUACUUGACGUUGUUUCGAUAAUCCUUUGAGCUUACUGCAUUGCUGUUCUUUGUCACCUGAAUACCCCUAUGGAUAAUUCUCGCACUUAUCGAGUAUCCGCUCACCCCCAGUUGUUCAUGUGUUUCACAAUGGUCUUCGAAAUACUAUUCGAUCCUCCAAGAAUCCUUAGUAGCUUAUUGCUCUGCAAUACUUGUCUGCUUGCAUUAUGGAUGCUUUCCAUAUGUCUGGCAAUAUUCGUUAGUAUCCUUAGACAUCGUAAAUUUUGAUCCUAUUGAUUCAACAUGAGUGCGAAUGGCACGCUAUUAUCAGUUGAUCCUUUUAAAUUAUCUUUCUGGCUCAGACGUCAUUUUUGAACAUGAGCUUGUUCUCGGCCAAUCUGUUGCCGUCAAUUGUACCCUUAGGUCUAUUGAACUUAUCCACCCUUGAUCAGAGCGUCUGCUUCUGAUCCUUCUAUUUGGGAAUCAUAAUUUCUUUGAUAACUAAGCAUGGAAUCAUUCAGGUGUUCUAUAAUCUGAUGCCCUUGCAUCCUUUCUUCAACUGAUUGUGUGCCGAUGCUCACAUCAACUCCGCUCUAGACCGUCAGAUCCUUUAUUGGAUUAUUAUUUAAUAGUGUCCUCCUUAUUCAAUAACCUUGUGAGACUUUCCUCGGAUACAUAAUGCUUUUGGUGAAUUGUAUCCUCUGUUUUUCUCCACCAUGCUCUAUUUUCGAGCUGGUGGUAUUUACGAAUGAAGCUUGUGGUAUAUGAUUCCAUGAAACCCUGACGGGUUGAACCUAUGCUUUUCUUAAUCUGUGUGAACCCGAAAGUUUUCACGGUUCAUACUCCUCUGGUAAUUCAUCAGGUAGGUUUUGACACUGAAAUCAUUUUUAUCUAGAGCAGUGAAUGAAAGGUUAUGCAUUGAAGAAGUGGGAGUCGACCUUGAACUUUGUGUUCAUUCCCAUGGACACGAUGUAGAUCUUAUCAUUAAAGCUUCUCUUAAAUUAAAUUUUUCCCUUGGUAUAAGUUCUUAUAUCCGGGAUCCGGCCUUUUGCAAUCGUGGUUUCAACCAUAUGUUCUUCUUUGACCCCAUUUCACGGACAAGUUUAAGCACUUGUCUUCUGUGGAUCAAUACACCAGUCCAACCUGUACUUUAAUCUUCCGUCGAGUAUUACACCAUGGUACCUCGAUAAUAUCAAGUACUACAUGACCCCUUAUGAGUUCUUCAUCAAGUUCUACAUUUUCAUUGAUUCCAAUUUUUCAUGGGCUCUGAGUUAUUAAACACUCAAAGACCGAUAACUGAAUCGAGUCCACACUACGGUUCAACAACUAUUAUGAAUCUUCUUUGCUUAUGAGUUUGUACCCGAUCACGUCCUUCCUACCCUAUUUGGCUAUAUCAUUAUUGUGAUGAUUUUAACUGUGCUACCUGGUCCUUAUUCCCGGAGCACAACUUUCGACGAUGAGCUAAGCUUACGUCGAUCUUCCUCAUCAUACCAUUUUGCCUUAAACAACGAGCUUGGUUUCGUGUUUGUGUCAUACCUUGGGUUCAAUAACCUUUCGCUUCAUCAUUCCUUUGGCUUGAUGUCAUCGCCGACCGAUUACAUCUUCAUGAAAUCUCUCAACAAUUGUGUCGUGAUCAUCAUCGGCAUUCUGAGCUCUUCCAGGAUGUCAAUUGAGUUCAUUACGAGAAAUACCAUCCUUGCCCUCGAUGAAUUGUGUUAUCUUUGACCACUUUAUUGCCUUCCGUUCAACACAAACUUGUUCGUGUUUUGUGUUAUACCUUGAGAUCCCUGCUAACCAGCAUUUGUUCUUCUUUACCUUGGAGUAUUACCAUCUUUUAAUAUCAAGGAUGUUGUGAGGACUGCUCCACCUCUUAAUGGAAUUCUUGGUAUUGUGAUGCUUCUUGCCAUCACCAUUCUUUUCUUGGCCCCCGUGUUGAGUGAACUCUGUUCUGAGAAUUUGAUAUCUCUAGCAACCCUAUUGCUUCAAAGUUAAUGGACAAUAAUUCCAAUUUGGUGUACUGGUUGCUAAAUCGCCAUUCUGAUGUUGGUCGUGCAACCCAACCCAUAUUUCGGGUGCACCUUUCAACCCAUGUUUAAUUGUGUAUGUUUUCCUUGAACAUACAUCAUUAUAUUGUAUUGUUCGAUCUGACAAAUGUUAUCUCCUUGUUCACAUAGUUGUGGAAAUCCAUCUUUUGUUAAUCUCGAUGAAUUGUCGCUGAUUCCAUCAGCCACCUCCUCAUCCUCUCGUUGGUUUACUAAUGAACUCUUGUUUCGGAACUCGCUUCCAUAGUUCAAUUCCCGAGAAUCUUACAAUGUCACCUCGACAAUUUGUGUUGCACCUUUCUUCUCAGUCAUCCCGUGUCUGAGUUAUCUUGACACCAAUCAGAUCUGAAUCUCGGUCAGAUAUGAUGGUUGGAACAUAUUUCAAGAGUUAUAACUUUGAUCCUCAUAUGACCCGGUAAGAUGAUAUCAUGCCUAGCACACUUGAUCGGAGGACCUAUUGUUAUAGUAUCCUCUCUAGCAAGGUUACCCAUUCUUUUGUGAGGAAAUUGCAAGACUUAUAAUAUAAGUUGUUCCUGAUGAAUCCCUUCGUGUAUCCAGAGUCUGACCUUUGCUUAAAGACCAUGUCAAUGCUAUCUCGAAGCAUGUCUAUGGUACUCUUAUCAUCGAUAAGAACAUUUGAAGCACAAUGCUAACUUUCUAUAUCAUUUAUCCUAACACCGUAGCAUGGGCAAUGUCAUGAAAUUACUCUGUUUUCUACUUUCUAUCCUGUCAUGGAUAUCAUGCUCUACUUGUCUUUGGAAGGGUAUACCCCUGAAAUGUGUGUUUAAACACAUUUUCCUUUCCAUUGUUCUGUUAAUCUGAUAAUCACAUUUUCCUUUCCAUUGUUUUGUUUAACCUUCUUGAGGUUUAUAUGAUCUAAGCAGUAAUAAGUCACUGUUUUUGUAAGCACCUCGGUGUACAACUCUGUCAGUAAGAACCAAUUACUAUUGUUGAUGACAUUCAGGUAUCCACCGAUUGACGAGAACUUUGCCUAAUGGCCACCUCGUUCAACGAGCAGGAAAAUGGUUCUCUUCGUCCCUCGCCCUUGGUACCGAGGUUGUUGCCGACAUAACUAACAGGCUAUCCUCUGACAUGCCUUGCUUACAUGAUCGUGCAAGACAUCACCGCCCUUCCUACUUUUAACCCACAUGGUGGGCCCAUAACCCACAGUUCCACAGGAUCGAAACCUGACUCCUGUACACCUUGUUGACAAAGUUAUCCUUUGCUCUUGGUUUCAUAGAUAAUUCGCGAGCCACCCUCCUAGUGCUCCAUUCUGGUAUCAGACGCAAUACUUACUCUCGCCGCUCUGAACCCCUUUCUCACUAUGGUUCAGACUUUGAGCAGCUAUCUAUCCGCUUGGACCCUCUCAUUGUACCUUUGUACCUUACUCUCGAUGUAUUUUAUAUGUUCAACUCGAGAGAUAAUCUUAUGCUCACUCAUGGGUUAACCCAGAUUGUUUCCCUCAUAAGCAUUCUGUCGUAGCCAAGCUACCCCUUACCUAUUCGUAAGUACGUUGGAGUUCCUGAAGAAAAUGAUGACUUCACCAUGAUGACCUGAAGCAGAGAAAUGAAGACGUCAAUGUAAGGUAUCGACCUCUUCAAGAAGAGCAUCCAAGACCUAGAAGAUUCGUUAGAAUUUCGUAGCCACGUCUUUCCCUUACUCCCCUCCUAAUUAUCGGGAUGAGAUUUCUUGUAGUGGAGGAGAAUUGUGACGCCCGGGUAAUUAAGCUACAGUAAACCCCUGCUAAUGAAGCCAUGUCACCUCGGUUACUGUUGUUAAUCUUGUGUUAGUUCAAAAUGAUCCAAAUUCAAAUUUAAAUUUAAAGGCAAACAACAAAGGUUUUCAAAAGUUAAAACUAAAAUGUUCGAGAGGUGACAUAUAAUGCAUAGGUAAUUAUGGUGAUGAAACCACAUUUUAUAAAAUGUUUAAAUGCUCAAAGGUAAAUAAAACAGCAGCUAAAACAAAUAUUUAAAUGCCUUUUAAAUAAUAAAAAUAUGC
rnacentral:lncRNA from 1 species